UACGUAGGGUCCGAGCGUUGUCCGGAAUUAUUGGGCGUAAAGAGCUCGUAGGCGGUUUGUCGCGUCUGCUGUGAAAUCCCGAGGCUCAACCUCGGGUCUGCAGUGGGUACGGGCAGACUGGAGUGCGGUAGGGGAGAAUGGAAUUCCUGGUGUAGCGGUGGAAUGCGCAGAUAUCAGGAGGAACACCGAUGGCGAAGGCGGGUCUCUGGGCAGUAACUGACGCUGAGGAGCGAAAGCGUGGGGAGCGAACAGG
rnacentral:rRNA from 1 species